UAGGGAAUAUUGGACAAUGGGUGAGAGCCUGAUCCAGCCAUGCCGCGUGCAGGAAGAAGGCGUUAUGCGUUGUAAACUGCUUUUUGCCAGGGGAUAAAAUGACCGUGCGCGGUUAAUUGAAGGUACCUGGUGAAUAAGCCACGGCUAACUACGUGCCAGCAGCCGCGGUAAUACGUAGGUGGCAAGCGUUGUCCGGAUUUAUUGGGUUUAAAGGGUGCGUAGGUGGCCCUGUAAGUCAGUGGUGAAAUAUCUCAGCUUAACUGAGAGGGUGCCAUUGAUACUGCAGGGCUUGAGUACAGAUGAGGUAGGCGGAAUUGACGGUGUAGCGGUGAAAUGCAUAGAUAUCGUCAAGAACACCGAUAGCGAAGGCAGCUUACCAAGCUGUAACUGACACUGAGGCACGAAAGUGUGGGGAUCAAACAGGAUUAGAUACCCGG
rnacentral:rRNA from 1 species